GAUGAACGCUGGCGGCGUGCCUAAUACAUGCAAGUCGAGCGAACGGACGAGAAGCUUGCUUCUCUGAUGUUAGCGGCGGACGGGUGAGUAACACGUGGAUAACCUACCUAUAAGACUGGGAUAACUUCGGGAAACCUGAUCUAAUACCGGAUAAUAGUUUGAACCGCAUGGUUCAAAAGUGAAAGACGGUCUUGCUGUCACUUAUAGAUGGAUCCGCGCUGCAUUAGCUAGUUGGUAAGGUAACGGCUUACCAAGGCAACGAUGCAUAGCCGACCUGAGAGGGUGAUCGGCCACACUGGAACUGAGACACGGUCCAGACUCCUACGGGAGGCAGCAGUAGGGAAUCUUCCGCAAUGGGCGAAAGCCUGACGGAGCAACGCCGCGUGAGUGAUGAAGGUCUUCGGAUCGUAAAACUCUGUUAUUAGGGAAGAACAUAUGUGUAAGUAACUGUGCACAUCUUGACGUUACCUAAUCAGAAAGCCACGGCUAACUACGUG
rnacentral:rRNA from 1 species